rnacentral:rRNA from 1 species
UACGGGGGGGGCAAGCGUUGUUCGGAAUUACUGGGCGUAAAGGGCGCGUAGGCGGUUCGCUAAGUCGGAUGUGAAAACUCUGGGCUCAACCCAGAGCCUGCAUCCGAAACUGGCGGGCUAGAGUUCUGGAGGGGGUAGCGGAAUUCCUGGUGUAGCGGUGAAAUGCGUAGAUAUCAGGAGGAACACCGAUGGCGAAGGCAGGUCUCUGGGCAUUAACUGACGCUGAGGAGCGAAAGCAUGGGGAGCGAACAGG